rnacentral:rRNA from 1 species
AUUGAACGCUGGCGGCAGGCCUAACACAUGCAAGUCGAACGGUAACAGGAAGCAGCUUGCUGCUUCGCUGACGAGUGGCGGACGGGUGAGUCAUGUCUGGGAAACUGCCUGAUGGAGGGGGAUAACUACUGGAAACGGUAGCUAAUACCGCAUAACGUCGCAAGCCCAAAGAGGGGGACCUUAUGGCCUCUUGCCAUCGGAUGUGCCCAGAUGGGAUUAGCUAGUAGGUGGGGUAACGGCUCACCUAGGCGACGAUCCCUAGCUGGUCUGAGAGGAUGACCAGCCACACUGGAACUGAGACACGGUCCAGACUCCUACGGGAGGCAGCAGUGGGGAAUAUUGCACAAUGGGCGCAAGCCUGAUGCAGCCAUGCCGCGUGUAUGAAGAAGGCCUUCGGGUUGUAAAGUACUUUCAGCGGGGAGGAAGGGAGUAAAGUUAAUACCUUUGCUCAUUGACGUUACCCGCAGAAGAAGCACCGGCUAACUCCGUG